rnacentral:rRNA from 1 species
CAAUAGCGUAUAUUAAAGUUGUUGCGGUUAAAAAGCUCGUAGUUGGAUUUCUGUCGAAGACUGCCGGUCCGCUCUAUGAGCGUGUAUCUGGUUAGGCUUUGGCAUCCUCUUGAAGAACGUUGCUGUGCUUAAUUGCAUGGUGCGGAAUUCAAGACUUUUACUUUGAGGAAAUUAGAGUGUUCACGGCAGGCAAGCGCCUUGAAUACAUUAGCAUGGAAUAAUAAGAUAGGACCUUGGUUCUAUUUUGUUGGUUUCUAGAGCUGAGGUAAUGAUUAAUAGGGAUAGUUGGGGGCAUUCGUAUUUAACUGUCAGAGGUGAAAUUCUUGGAUUUGUUGAAGACGGACUACUGCGAAGGCAUCUGCCAAAGAUGCUCUCAUUGAUCAAGAACGAAAGUUAGGGGAUCGAAGACG